rnacentral:rRNA from 1 species
GAUGAACGCUAGCGGCAGGCUUAAUACAUGCAAGUCGAGGGACAGCACAGGUAGCAAUACUGGGUGGUAACCGGCAAACGGGUGCGGAACACGUACACAACCUUCCUUUAAGUGGGGGAUAGCCCAGAGAGAUUUGGAUUAAUACCCCGUAAUAUAGUUGAAUGGCAUCAUUUGAUUAUUAUAGCUACGGCGCUUAAUGAUGGGUGUGCGGCUGAUUAGAUAGUUGGCGGGGUAACGGCCCACCAAGUCUACGAUCAGUAGCUGAUGUGAGAGCAUGAUCAGCCACACGGGCACUGAGACACGGGCCCGACUCCGACGGGAGGCAGCAGUAAGGAAUAUUGGUCAAUGGACGCAAGUCUGAACCAGCCAUGCCGCGUGAAGGAUUAAGGUCCUCUGGAUUGUAAACUUCUUUUAUUUGGGACGAAAAAGGGCCUUUCUAGGUCAACUGACGGUACCAGAUGAAUAAGCACCGGCUAACUCCGUGCCAGCAGCCGCCGUAAAAC